AUGCCCUUCUGUAAUGUCAGCAUUACCAUCAUGCAGACAUGGUCAGUACAUAAAUACACCUGAUGAUGUGUUCUAUCCAGUAACACAAUGGAUCUACACCAGGUAUCUCAGACCCUGACCAUCCCUGAUGUUGCUGUGCUACAAUUCUUAUGAUUCUCAGGCCAGAUGUUGCACUCAAAGAAUUCUGGGAGUUGUAGGCCAUAAAUGUCUGGGCAAGGGCACAGUUUGAGAUCCCUGAUCUACUUCAAUUCUAAGUUU